rnacentral:rRNA from 1 species
GAUGAACGCUGGCGGCGUGCGUAAUACAUGCAAGUCGAGCGAACAGACGAGGAGCUUGCUCCUCUGACGUUAGCGGCGGACGGGUGAGUAACACGUGGAUAACCUACCUAUAAGACUGGGAUAACUUCGGGAAACCGGAGCUAAUACCGGAUAAUAUAUUGAACCGCAUGGUUCAAUAGUGAAAGACGGUUUUGCUGUCACUUAUAGAUGGAUCCGCGCCGCAUUAGCUAGUUGGUAAGGUAACGGCUUACCAAGGCAACGAUGCGUAGACGACCUGACAGGGUGAGCGGCGACCCGGGAACUGAGACACGGUCCAGACUCCUACGGGAGGCAGCAGUAGGGAAUCGUCCGCAAUGGGCGAAAGCAUGACGGAGCAACGCCGCGUGAGUGAUGAAGGUCUUCGGAUCGUAAAACUGUGUUAUUAGGGAAGAACAAAUGUGUAAGUAAAUAUGCACGUCUUGACGGUACCUAAUAAGAAAGCAACGGCUAACUACGUG